UACGUAGGGCGCAAGCGUUUGUCCGGAUUUAUUGGGCGUAAAGAGCUCGUAGGCGGUCUGUCGCGUCGGAUGUGAAAACCCGGAACUCAACUCCGGGCCUGCAUUCGAUACGGGCAGACUUGAGUACUGCAGGGGAGACUGGAAUUCCUGGUGUAGCGGUGGAAUGCGCAGAUAUCAGGAGGAACACCGGUGGCGAAGGCGGGUCUCUGGGCCGAUACUGACGUGAGGAGCGAAAAGCGUGGGGGAGCGAACAGG
rnacentral:rRNA from 1 species